UACGGGGGGAGAGAGCGUUGAUCGGAAUAACUGGGCGUAAAGCGCACGCAGGCGGCCUUUUAAGUGAGAUGUGAAAUCCCCGGGCUUAACCUGGGAAUUGCAUUUCAUACUUGGAGUCUAGAGUACUUUAGGGGGGGGUAGAAUUCCACGUGUAGCGGUGAAAUGCGUAGAGAUGUUGAGGAAUACCGAAUGCGAAGGCAGCCCCUUGG
rnacentral:rRNA from 1 species